rnacentral:lncRNA from 1 species
UUCAAAAACCAUGAUGUUGAUGUUCUCCUAACCCCUUUAUUUGAUCAUGGUGUCAAACAUGGGGUAUGAUAUUAGAUUCACAACAUCAAACCUUGUUUCUCUGACAACUUCAAAUUCUUUCAUCUCAUCGAGUCUUGAUCAUCUACUGAUAUGAACCUUUGGACUAUUCUACGUGUUGUCGAGGUUGGCUUCUGGACGCUUUGGUGGUGGUGGCUUUCUUGGAAGGUGCUUUGUUUUUGUGGUUGGAGUCAUUUUGCGAGUUUGGUGAAAAUGAGUUAAUUUUAGGGAAGGGUUGGUGUAGAUUUUGUGGAAUUGAUAUGAAGUCUGAUGAUUGGGGUAGGUAUUUGGUGUUAGAACUUAGAAAUGGGUUAAAUAUGAAUAUA